UACGAAGGGGGCUAGCGUUGCUCGGAUUUACUGGGCGUAAAGGGCGCGUAGGCGGACAGUUAAGUUGGGGGUGAAAGCCCGGGGCUCAACCUCGGAAUUGCCUUCAAUACUGGCUGUCUUGAGUGUGAGAGAGGUGUGUGGAACUCCGAGUGUAGAGGUGAAAUUCGUAGAUAUUCGCAAGAACACCAGUGGCGAAGGCGGCUCACUGGCCCGGUACUGACGCUGAGGUGCGAAAGCGUGGGAGCAACAGGGA
rnacentral:rRNA from 1 species